rnacentral:rRNA from 1 species
GAUGAACGCUGGCGGCGUGCCUAAUACAUUCAAGUCGAGCGAACAGACGAGGAGCUUGCUCCUCUGACGUUAGCGGCGGACGGGUGAGUAACACGUGGAUAACCUACCUAUAAGACUUGGAUAACUUCGGGAAACCGGAGCUAAUACCGGAUAAUAUAUUUAACCGCAUGGUUCAAUAGUGAAAGACGGUUUUGCUGUCACUUAUAGAUGGAUCCGCGCCGCAUUAGCUAGUUGGUAAGGUAACGGCUUACCAAGGCAACGAUGCGUAGCCGACCUGAGAGGGUGAUCGGCCACACUGGAACUGAGACACGGUCCAGACUCCUACGGGAGGCAGCAGUAGGGAAUCUUCCGCAAUGGGCGAAAGCCUGACGGAGCAACGCCGCGUGAGUGAUGAAGGUCUUCGGAUCGUAAAACUCUGUUAUUAGGGAAGAACAAAUGUGUAAGUAACUAUGCACGUCUUGACGGUACCUAAUCAGAAAGCCACGGCUAACUACGUG